rnacentral:rRNA from 1 species
AAAUUCGCCCCCUUUUCCCCCCGGCCGGGGCGGGCACGGGGGGCCUCCGGGGGGCAGCAGUGAGGAAUAUUGGACAAUGGGCGCAAGCCUGAUCCAGCCAUGCCGCGUGCAGGAAGAAGCAUCUAUGGUGUGUAAACUGCUUUUGUACGGGAAGAAACACUCCUUCGUGAAGGAGCUGACGUACCGUAGAUAGUUGUU